rnacentral:rRNA from 1 species
GACAGAGGGGGCAAGCGUUGCUCGGAAUCACUGGGCGUAAAGGGCGCGUAGGCGGGUUGGCAAGUCAGUCGUGAAAUCUCUCGGCUCAACCGAGAAACGUCGGCUGAUACUGCCGUUCUUGAGGGAUGCAGAGGAGACUGGAAUUCCCGGUGUAGCGGUGAAAUGCGCAGAUAUCGGGAGGAACACCAAUGGCGAAGGCAGCUCGCUGGGACGUUACUGACGCUGAGACGCGAAAGCGUGGGGAGCAAACAGG